rnacentral:lncRNA from 1 species
AGCUCUUGCUCUUGCUCUUGCUCCUUUGCCUGCUUGCUGCGUGAGACUGAGUAACUGCUAGAUCCUUGGACUUCCAUUCACAGCUGCGACUGAACAAUUGUUGGGAAUUCGGCUGCCGACUAGAAUGCAAAACACUGAGAAAGAACCCAGUACCUGAGUGCUGCACAGCCAAAGGCUGCGAAACCCUUCUCCCUUCUUCCUGAGUAAGGAGUGGGCCUCCAACGGAGCAUAGAACCCACGUGCAUAAACCUGGAACAGAGGAGCCAUGGUGUGUCUCUGAGCUGGUGGCAGUCACAAGCUGUUCACUCUCAGCUCAUGACAAGCAAGCACAGAAACUGAGUCACUUGGGCUAGAAAGACGGCUCAGUGGUUAAGAACACACUGCAGCUGGGCUCAGUGUGUUGGCGCAUGCCUUUCAUCCCAGCAUUUGGGAAGCAGAGGCAGGCAGAUCUCUGAGUUGAAGGCCACCCUGGUCUACAGAGUGAGUUUCAGUACAGCCAGGGCUACACAGAGAAAAUCUGUCUGGGGGCUGGGAGUGGGGGAACACAGGCUGGUCUUCUAGAGAACCCAUUUUUGGUUCCCAGCACCCAUAUCAAGUAGCUCUCAGCCACUUGAGGGAGACCCUGUGAGAGCGCCAGCUUCUUGUGUACAUAGCCCCACAAAUGCAUACACACAAUUAUAUACAUAACUAAAUAAUAAAUAAAUCUUAUUUUU